UUUCAGGCUAUGCUAUCUACCUCCUGCAAUCAGUGUCUAAGAAGGAGGAAAGACCUUGUAAGACGUCGACGGCGCUCUCUUGGUGAUUGUCCGAGCAGGGCGGAUGAUAUUUCACCUGGACCUGAAAAACAGCUUGCGUCCAAUGUGGCAGUAAAUUAAAUUUGGACAGUAUGAUAACACAGACAACUGGUAUGCGGACGUAUCUUGGAGUCCAAUUAAUGAUUCAAGUGGCUUUUUAAAAGGCUAUUCGGUUCGUUACUUGUCAGUUGACAGUCAAGUACUUUGUGCUCAGGUGCCAAAGAGCCAAACGUCUCUCAGAAUAAAUGUGUCUCGUUAUGGCUAUAAUCAGGAGGAGCCUAUUGACUUAGUGGU